rnacentral:lncRNA from 1 species
CACUUUAUUACUUCAUAAAUACUCUUGAAAAAGCUUUCAGAAAGUGAUUCUCUGACUUCAGAUCAGAAACUGGCAAUGGGAAGAAUGUGCACUUAAACUUGAUCACUGUAGAUCUUUGAAAAUUCCCAGAAAGACAAAUCAGACAAGAAAUACCUGAUUAUCAAAAUAAUGGGCUAUACAGUUUUGUGGUGGCAUACAUUCCUUGUUUGUUUGUUUAGAGAUAGGAUCUUGUUGUGUCACCCAGGCUGGAAUGCAGUGGCACAGUCGUAGCUCACUGCACCUUCAAACUCCUGGAGCUCAAG